rnacentral:tRNA from 1 species
UCCCUGGUGGUUCAGUGGCUAAGACUCUGCACUCCCAAUGCAGGGGGCCUGGGUUCAACCCCUGGUUAGGGAA